rnacentral:tRNA from 1 species
CCUCCUUAGCUCAGUUGGUUAGAGCAUCUGACUGUUAAUCAGAGGGUCCAAAGUUCGAGUCUUUGAGGAGGAGCAAG